rnacentral:misc_RNA from 1 species
AACCUAGCACACCUGCGGUGUGUACCUGCGGAAGGAUCAUUAACUAUGCGAAAGCAUAUUCCCGCCCGCGGCCUCGCGCCGCUGUGGUGACCACCCUUUGUGAACCUUUAUUUUUUGCUUCGGCAGUUCGCCUCCCGCGAGGGUCGCGGUAAAGCUGCCGACAGCCCACACCAUAAACUAUUUUGUUACCAGAAAUCAUGCAGUCUGAUUUACUUUAAUAUAAAAGUUAAAACUUUCAAC